UACAGAGGUCUCAAGCGUUGUUCGGAUUCAUUGGGCGUAAAGGGUGCGUAGGUGGCGCGCUAAGUCAGGUGUGAAAUUUCGGAGCUUAACUCCGAAACUGCAUUUGAUACUGGCGUGCUUGAGGACUGGAGAGGAGACUGGAAUUCAUGGUGUAGCAGUGAAAUGCGUAGAGAUCAUGAGGAAGACCAGUGGCGAAGGCGGGUCUCUGGACAGUUCCUGACACUGAGGCACGAAAGCUAGGGGAGCAAACAGG
rnacentral:rRNA from 1 species